UACGAGUGCUUCAAGCGUUAUCCGGAAUCAUUGGGCGUAAAGGGUGUGUAGGCGGUCUGGUUAGUCUUUCGUAAAAUCUCUCGGCUCAACCGAGAGCCUGCGGGGGAAACGGCCAGACUUGAGGACGGAAGAGGUCUCUGGAACUCAUGGUGUAGCGGUGAAAUGCGUUGAUAUCAUGGGGAACACCAAAAGCGAAGGCAAGAGACUGGUCCGCUCCUGACGCUGAAACACGAAAGCGUGGGGAGCAAACAGG
rnacentral:rRNA from 1 species